CUGGAAUCGUGUUUUUGGCUAUUCAAGGCAAUUGACAUGGGCACACCCUGGAAAUUUAGAAACACGCCCAAACUAUAAAAUGCUAGCUAAGACCCUGGUGGAUGUAUAUUACUACCUUCAUUUCAUAUGCAGCUUGAUUAUGAUUCAUUUUGAAAUUGGGUUUAGAAUUUAUGUGUUUAACCCAUUAAGUUGCAUAUGAAUGCAUCCUACCUAUUAUCAGGGGUGCACAUUCCAAAAAUUUCUGGGGGGGGGUGUGUGCCAAAUGUCAUGGCUCAGGCUGUUAUUUAUCCCCUUUUAGUUGUCAAGGGGAAAUCAGUGUUGCAUGGUGUUCAGUACGUGGGUUUAAUAAAAUCCAGAAAUGCAUUUGUUUUGCAUGAAACAA